rnacentral:tRNA from 1 species
GUUUUCGUGGUGUAACUGUAGCACACUCGGCUCGUAUUCGGGACGUCUAGGUUCGAGUCCCGACGAAGGUA